rnacentral:rRNA from 1 species
GUGGGGAAUCUUCCGCAAUGGACGAAAGUCUGACGGAGCAACGCCGCGUGAGUGAUGACGGCCUUCGGGUUGUAAAGCUCUGUUAAUCGGGACGAAUGGUUCUUGUGCGAAUAGUGCGAGGAUUUGACGGUACCGGAAUAGAAAGCCACGGCUAACUACGUGCCAGCAGCCGCGGUAAUACGUAGGUGGCAAGCGUUGUCCGGAAUUAUUGGGCGUAAAGCGCGCGCAGGCGGAUUGGUCAGUCUGUCUUAAAAGUUCGGGGCUUAACCCCGUGAUGGGAUGGAAACUGCCAAUCUAGAGUAUCGGAGAGGAAAGUGGAAUUCCUAGUGUAGCGGUGAAAUGCGUAGAUAUUAGGAAGAACACCAGUGGCGAAGGCGACUUUCUGGACGAAAACUGACGCUGAGGCGCGAAAGCCAGGGGAGCGAACGGGAUUAGAAACCCCAGUAGUCC